rnacentral:rRNA from 1 species
GAGCUUGCUCCCUGAUGUUAGCGGCGGACGGGUGAGUAACACGUGGGUAACCUGCCUGUAAGACUGGGAUAACUCCGGGAAACCGGGGCUAAUACCGGAUGGUUGUCUGAACCGCAUGGUUCAGACAUAAAAGGUGGCUUCGGCUACCACUUACAGAUGGACCCGCGGCGCAUUAGCUAGUUGGUGAGGUAACGGCUCACCAAGGCGACGAUGCGUAGCCGACCUGAGAGGGUGAUCGGCCACACUGGGACUGAGACACGGCCCAGACUCCUACGGGAGGCAGCAGUAGGGAAUCUUCCGCAAUGGACGAAAGUCUGACGGAGCAACGCCGCGUGAGUGAUGAAGGUUUUCGGAUCGUAAAGCUCUGUUGUUAGGGAAGAACAAGUGCCGUUCAAAUAGGGCGGCACCUUGACGGUACCUAACCAGAAAGCCACGGCUAACUACGUGCCAGCAGCCGCGGUAAUACGUAGGUGGCAAGCGUUGUCCGGAAUUAUUGGGCGUAAAGGGCUCGCAGGCGGUUUCUUAAGUCUGAUGUGAAAGCCCCCGGCUCAACCGGGGAGGGUCAUUGGAAACUGGGGAACUUGAGUGCAGAAGAGGAGAGUGGAAUUCCACGUGUAGCGGUGAAAUGCGUAGAGAUGUGGAGGAACACCAGUGGCGAAGGCGACUCUCUGGUCUGUAACUGACGCUGAGGAGCGAAAGCGUGGGGAGCGAACAGGAUUAGAUACCCUGGUAGUCCACGCCGUAAACGAUGAGUGCUAAGUG